rnacentral:lncRNA from 1 species
AUGGGCCGGCGGCCGCCCGGCCGGAGCCGCCUCCCCGCGCGCGGCGUUCUGCUGCUGCUCCGGCAAGAGCAAGGGAGCGGCGGCCAGCCCUGCCCCGGCCCCGCGGAGCCCGGCGUCCAAGCCGAAGGGAGCGGGCGAGGCGGCUCCGGGCAGCGGGGUCCGGCCGGGGGCUCCGGGCGGGGGAGUGCAGCGCGAGCCGACCUGCGAGCGCAGCCGGCCGAGAUGCGGGCGCCCGGCGGCGCGGCGGCAGCGGCAGCGGCAGCGGCAGCGGCAGCGGCGGCCGCGGCGGCAGCAGCAAGGAAAAAUGAGAGCGAGCGAGAGAGCGCGCCGGAGAGCGAGCGAGAGACGGGGAGAGCGCGGAAGACGCGCAGACGGGAGGCUGCGGGAGGGGCGGGGGCGCCCGGAGCACCAGGGGCGAGGGGACCGCCGCGGCUCAGCCCCCGCGCCCGCCGCCGCCGCCGCCGCCGCCGCCGCCGCCGCCCUCGAGGAGGCGCGAGCCGGGCCCGGCAAGUUUGCGCUGCGAGUGCGGACCGAGCGCGCGGCGCCUCCGCCGGCCUCUUAAAGAGCGAGCACCUGGGCGCCCACCCCCGACCCCGCACCCGCACCCGCACCUCCGCCGCCGGAAGGCCGGGCGGGCCGAGCGCCCUCCGCCUCGCCACACCCGCCCCGCAGUUUCCCCCUCCCGCCACGCCCCAGCGGCGCCCUCCCCUGGAAGCCCCCUUCCUUGCCCCGCCCCCGUGGGUCAGCCCAGCGGCCCGAGGACGCGUGGGGGGGACCCUCCUGACUCCAACGGUCGAGGGUCAGGGAACACAGCCUCCGACACACACCCGCAGAAGUACAGCAAAGCACAGCGAUGCAAAGGGGUUGCGCUCCUCCCCACCCCUGUGCGUCACGAGAACUCCCACCCGCAGGGCCUCUUCUCACACAUCCGCAUGCACGUGGCGUGUGCCCCCAUGUGGCAUGUUCAUUUGCACGCCCCACCGCUCCUGGUUGGAGCAUACCACGGGGGGGGGGGGGGGGGGAGGAAACUGA